UCUGUUAAAUAUUACAAGACUUCUACAAGUGUAAUUAACAUAAAAUGUCUCCAUCAUUUGUAAUAAUUGCGCAAAUUAUACCUAUCGUUUCAAAUUUGAUAUUACACCCUCAUUUCAACAUUUUCUUACUGAGUUGGUCCUUUUAAUCUCAUUCCGUCAAUUUCUUCUGUCAAAUAUGGGUAAUUUGUGCAAAACAUCAUUUGCUUACAAUACGCAAAACUUCAUUAUAGUUUGCCUUCACUGUGCAAAAUGUCCCUUAUCGUUUAUUUUCU
rnacentral:lncRNA from 1 species